GACGAACGCUGGCGGCGCGCCUAACACAUGCAAGUCGAACGAGCGAGCGAGAGCUUGCUUUCUCAAGCGAGUGGCGAACGGGUGAGUAACGCGUGAGGAACCUGCCUCAAAGAGGGGGACAACAGUUGGAAACGACUGCUAAUACCGCAUAAGCCCACAGGUCGGCAUCGACCAGAGGGAAAAGGAGCAAUCCGCUUUGAGAUGGCCUCGCGUCCGAUUAGCUAGUUGGUGAGGUAACGGCCCACCAAGGCAACGAUCGGUAGCCGGACUGAGAGGUUGAACGGCCACAUUGGGACUGAGACACGGCCCAGACUCCUACGGGAGGCAGCAGUGGGGAAUAUUGCACAAUGGGGGAAACCCUGAUGCAGCGACGCCGCGUGGAGGAAGAAGGUCUUCGGAUUGUAAACUCCUGUUGUGGAGGAAGAUAAUGACGGUACUCAACAAGGAAGUGACGGCUAACUACGUG
rnacentral:rRNA from 1 species